rnacentral:lncRNA from 1 species
UCCAGAAUUGUGCUAAAGGCUCAGUGUCUUCAUCAAACAGAAAGACCAUUUACCUGGUUUUUUUCCCCUCUAGACAUUUCAAAUCCGACUUUUAAGUUAGUUGGAUUUUGCAAUUCACUCUUUCUUUCCACAGCUCACUGUACGCGCUCAGCUUGGUGCAAAAUCACAACAGUUGCUGAAGAAAGGAAAGAGCAUUCCAGACACAUUAUUAGUUAACAUCAUAGUAAAUGCUGUUAAGAAGAGAAGUUAUCCUGAGAUCAGGGAUCCAAAGGCUGAGCAGUGCUGGGACAGGAAAGCGAUCGGAACAGAGGCGGGAAGUGACAUACAUGCAUACCAUAGAGAUAGGCAAUAAGGAAAACAUCAAAAUAGCUUGUCAUUUUGUAAUCUCUGUCCUCUUUUCCAAAGAGGAAAUAUCUUCAGCCUUUCUUGUCAAAAUGCAAAAGGGUUAGGUGAUCCAUAUAGUAAAGAAGUGACACCAAGUAGGAUAGAAUAAGAGUUACAAGGGUUCCUGUGAAAGUGUUGGAGAGUUCACAGUGGUUGAAGAAAUAGUGUAAGUUAGCUAUGAUGUAUGGGAACCAUCGACACAGAUAAGAAAGCAGAUUUUAGAGAAUUUUUACUGUGUCUGAAAAAGACUCCCCCUCGGCAUUUUCCUAAAAGAGUACAUGUAAUAUUUAAAUUGUUUCUCAGCUAUGAAGUAUCCAGAAACUGGACUACGGGGCUGCUGCCCUCAAGCUGGAAGGGACUUCAUUAUAAUAGUUGUAACAUUUCUGAGCACUGACUUAAGGCAUGCUUCUGCCAUGGAAGUCUUUGCUCAAGGAAAAAUUAGGUAGGAAAAGAAUCAAACGUGAAACAGAUCUUCACUUUGCUUUCAAUGAAGCUGGAGGAUCUAUAGCUCACCAUGGGAACUCUAUCAUCCUGUCACCACCACUUUGAAGGCACCUCCAAAGGAGUGUCACUAGUUCGAAAUCCUUUGAACUAGUCCAGUGAGGAAAGGGACAUGAGGUAUUCGAGUUAGGAAUCCGGCUGGUGGCAUAGCCAAAGCCAAAGCCAAAGUCCAGGUCUCCUAACUGUGGGAAACCCAUGCCUGGCAAGCAACUCAAGGAAAAUCUCUUCAUUUUAGGCCGAACUAUGAAAAUGCUUUACCCAGUUCUGGAAAUGCUACAAAAGCAAACUGCAGUCUUUUCCUGCUUUUGAUAACUUUAUGGGGAAAGUAUAAGCAGUGGCCUGAAAGAAGUUUGAUGCUGUAGAAGGGUCAUUGGAUUUGAGAACAUUUGUAGCUUUAUGACAUUGAAUAAGUAAUGAAAUCUCUCUGAGCUUUAGUUUUUCCCCUUCUUGCCUGCCACACUGUCAG